rnacentral:rRNA from 1 species
UACGGGGGGAGCAAGCGUUGUUCGGAUUUACUGGGCGUAAAGGGCGCGUAGGCGGUCAGCACAAGUCAGUUGUGAAAUCUCCGAGCUUAACUCGGAAAGGUCAACUGAUACUGUGCGACUAGAGUGCGGAAGGGGCAACUGGAAUUCUUGGUGUAGCGGUGAAAUGCGUAGAUAUCAAGAGGAACACCUGCGGCGAAGGCGGGUUGCUGGGCCGACACUGACGCUGAGGAGCGAAAGCGUGGGGAGCGAACAGG